rnacentral:rRNA from 1 species
UACGUAGGGUGCAAGCGUUGUCCGGAAUUAUUGGGCGUAAAGAGCUCGUAGGCGGUUUGUCGCGUCUGCUGUGAAAACCCGAGGCUCAACCUCGGGCCUGCAGUGGGUACGGGCAGACUAGAGUGCGGUAGGGGAGAUUGGAAUUCCUGGUGUAGCGGUGGAAUGCGCAGAUAUCAGGAGGAACACCAAUGGCGAAGGCAGACUCUGGGCCGUAAACUGACGCUGGAGGAGCGAAAGCAUGGGGAGCGAACAGG